GCUUCUGAAGAAUAACAGCUAUUCAUUGGUCUUAGGAACCAAAGAUUCUUGGUGCAAAUCCAAGCAGAAACU
rnacentral:tRNA from 1 species